rnacentral:rRNA from 1 species
GAUGAACGCUGGCGGCGUGCCUAAUACAUGCAAGUAGAACGCUGAAGCUUGGUGCUUGCACCGGGCGGAUGAGUUGCGAACGGGUGAGUAACGCGUAGGUAACCUGCCUGGUAGCGGGGGAUAACUAUUGGAAACGAUAGCUAAUACCGCAUGACAACAGUUAUUGCAUGAUAACUGUUUAAAAGGGGCAACUGCUCCACUACCAGAUGGACCUGCGUUGUAUUAGCUAGUUGGUGAGGUAACGGCUCACCAAGGCGACGAUACAUAGCCGACCUGAGAGGGUGAUCGGCCACACUGGGACUGAGACACGGCCCAGACUCCUACGGGAGGCAGCAGUAGGGAAUCUUCGGCAAUGGACGGAAGUCUGACCGAGCAACGCCGCGUGAGUGAAGAAGGUUUUCGGAUCGUAAAGCUCUGUUGUAAGAGAAGAACGAGUGUGAGAGUGGAAAGUUCACACUGUGACGGUAUCUUACCAGAAAGGGACGGCUAACUACGUGCCAGCAGCCGCGGUAAUACGUAGGUCCCGAGCGUUAUCCGGAUUUAUUGGGCGUAAAGCGAGCGCAGGCGGUUAGAUAAGUCUGAAGUUAAAGGCUGUGGCUUAACCAUAGUACGCUUUGGAAACUGUUUAACUUGAGUGCAAGAGGGGAGAGUGGAAUUCCAUGUGUAGCGGUGAAAUGCGUAGAUAUAUGGAGGAACACCGGUGGCGAAAGCGGCUCUCUGGCUUGUAACUGACGCUGAGGCUCGAAAGCGUGGGGAGCAAACAGG